rnacentral:rRNA from 1 species
AACGAACGCUGGCGGCAUGCCUAACACAUGCAAGUCGAACGAUGCCUUCGGGCAUAGUGGCGCACGGGUGCGUAACGCGUGGGAAUCUGCCCUUGGGUUCGGAAUAACUCAGAGAAAUUUGAGCUAAUACCGGAUGAUGACGUAAGUCCAAAGAUUUAUCGCCCAAGGAUGAGCCCGCGUAAGAUUAGCUAGUUGGUGGGGUAAAGGCCUACCAAGGCGACGAUCUUUAGCUGGUCUGAGAGGAUGAUCAGCCACACUGGGACUGAGACACGGCCCAGACUCCUACGGGAGGCAGCAGUGGGGAAUAUUGGACAAUGGGCGAAAGCCUGAUCCAGCAAUGCCGCGUGAGUGAUGAAGGCCUUAGGGUUGUAAAGCUCUUUUACCAGGGAUGAUAAUGACAGUACCUGGAGAAUAAGCUCCGGCUAACUCCGUGCCAGCAGCCGCGGU